UAGUAACUGGACCAUAGGCACUA
rnacentral:piRNA from 1 species